UACGGGGGAGCAAGCGUUGUUCGGAUUUACUGGCGUAAAGGGCGCGUAGGCGGUCAGCACAAGUCAAUUGUGAAAUCUCCGAGCUUAACUCGGAAAGGUCAACUGAAACUGUGCGACUAGAGUGCGGAAGGGCAACUGGAAUUCUUGGUGUAGCGGUGAAAUGCGUAGAUAUCAAGAGGAACACCUGCGGCGAAGGCGGGUUGCUGGGCCGACACUGACGCUGAAGCGCGAAAGCCAGGGAGCGAACGGG
rnacentral:rRNA from 1 species